rnacentral:misc_RNA from 1 species
AAUUCUCUUGUUCUAAACUGAUACACUGCACUGCCUAAAGCUUUAGCAGUCUUCUCUGCUACCUUUGUAUAUACUCAAGAACAUGGAAUGGCAAGCUAGAAAUAGUGUAUAUGACAUGCAACAGGCAUUAAAAAAAACAAGGAUUUGACCAUGGUAUAACUCAUCUCAAAGGUUUUGUUUGGCAGUAAGACUAACAUUUAACUGAAAGCCUUCUA